AUAUUAAAGGUUACGGUGAGAGAUGACUAUGCGUCCCAUUAGCUAGUUGGUAAGGUAACGGCUUACCAAGGCGACGAUGGGUAGGGGCCCUGAGAGGGGGAUCCCCCACACUGGUACUGAGACACGGACCAGACUCCUACGGGAGGCAGCAGUGAGGAAUAUUGGACAAUGGGCGAGAGCCUGAUCCAGCCAUGCCGCGUGCAGGAAGACGGUCCUAUGGAUUGUAAACUGCUUUUGUACGGGAAGAACAAGGGGCACGUGUGCUCCUCUGACGGUACCGUAAGAAUAAGGAUCGGCUAACUCCGUGCCAGCAGCCGCGGUAAUACGGAGGAUCCGAGCGUUAUCCGGAAUUAUUGGGUUUAAAGGGUCCGUAGGCGGGCCAUUAAGUCAGGGGUGAAAGUCUGCGGCUCAACCGUAGAAUUGCCUUUGAUACUGGUGGUCUUGAGUUAUGGUGAAGUGGCUAGAAUAUGUAGUGUAGCGGUGAAAUGCAUAGAUAUUACAUAGAAUACCGAUUGCGAAGGCAGGCCACUAACCAUAUACU
rnacentral:rRNA from 1 species